UUUCCGUAGGUGAACCUGCGGAAGGAUCAUUAACACGUUCCAUUCCUUAUCAACCAAACUGUGAACUUGUAUUUGUCCUGUGCCUAUAACUUUGUAUAUUGUUGUAGUCUGCGCUAUAACAUGUAUAUAGGGUUAUAGCGCAUAGGGCCAAUUAAAAAGUCAAUAUUAAUAUAUGGAGCCGUAUUAUUAUACAUAUGGUUCCUGUAUUAUUAUCUUCUUUUUUACACCAACGCCCUAAAACACCUGCAAAUUAAGUUUUGCAGCUCCUGUUAAAUCUAUGAUAAUCAAUAUCUAAUCUAAUCUACAGAAUAGUGUCGCUUUUAGUAAUAUGAUUGUUACUACAAAGCCGACUGCUGUGUUGUAGUAAAUAAGAGUAACUAAGUCUUAAUACAACUCUUAGCAAUGGAUAUCUUGGUUCUC
rnacentral:misc_RNA from 1 species